UGUCCACACUUGUAAAAAAAAAAAUCGGAAAAAAUUCAUUUCUAUUCGGAACUUACCACGAUGUUGAUGAAGAGGCGCCGCCAUUAUCCUUGGAACGCAUUGUCAACCUUCUCAUUUAUAUUGGCAGAAUAUACAAUUACUAUUAACUGACGAAAAAUUAAGAAACUGUUGAAAAUGCAUGGAGAAAUUUGUUGGGCAAGGCACAGACAUUAAGCUUAAGCUUAACAUCAGAAAACCUCUGGAUUCUUGGAACUGUUUAUCACAUGCAAAUUAUCAACAUGGGCAUGAUCAAAUCAGAAAUGCUGAAAGAAUUUUCAGUUUCACUUGACAGGAGUGCAUGAUGAUUUCAGCUAUGAUCACCACACAGUACUGGGAAGAAGUUCAAGACACAUCAUGUGGUAUAUGCCUAUAUUUUGUCUGUCACAGAUGAAAUAGUGAAGAAAAGACAAGCCUCACUAGUAAAUAUGAUAUUGAUCCACAAGGAUUUCAUUUUAUUGUCCAUUUACCAGCAUGUGAUUAGAUAUAGUCUAAACGGUACUUUGCAUACCAUGCCUUUAUGUUUUCCACUACUAUUGGGAGCUGUUGGGGGUGUAUGAUUAAUGGAAGAAACCCCUGAUCAAACAAAACUAAAAUGAAACUUAUUUAUCUUAUUUUUUUUGUGUUUAUAUAUAGAUAAAUAACUGCAUAUCUCAAAUUUUUAAAGAAAAUUGUAAUAUUUAAUCGUUUUCUGAAAGUUGUAUGUUUAUUGAUGGUAACAACUUAACAUUAUUUAUGUAAACCAACUUAUUUUUCAGCCGACUUAGCAGCAAUUUAUUCUUGUGAUUUUCAACAAAAAUACUAUUUAUAAAAUUAAGAAAGGAAAUGGGGAAUGU